rnacentral:rRNA from 1 species
GAGUUUGAUCCUGGCUCAGGACGAACGCUGGCGGCGUGCUUAACACAUGCAAGUCGAACGAUGAUGCCCAGCUUGCUGGGCGGAUUAGUGGCGAACGGGUGAGUAACACGUGAGUAACCUGCCCCUGACUCUGGGAUAAGCGUUGGAAACGACGUCUAAUACUGGAUAUGAUCACCGACCGCAUGGUCUGGUGGUGGAAAGAUUUUUUGGUUGGGGAUGGACUCGCGGCCUAUCAGCUUGUUGGUGAGGUAAUGGCUCACCAAGGCGACGACGGGUAGCCGGCCUGAGAGGGUGACCGGCCACACUGGGACUGAGACACGGCCCAGACUCCUACGGGAGGCAGCAGUGGGGAAUAUUGCACAAUGGGCGAAAGCCUGAUGCAGCAACGCCGCGUGAGGGAUGACGGCCUUCGGGUUGUAAACCUCUUUUAGUAGGGAAGAAGCGAAAGUGACGGUACCUGCAGAAAAAGCACCGGCUAACUAC